UACAAAGGGUGCGAGCGUUGUCCGGAAUCAUUGGGCGUAAAGGGCGCGUAGGUGGCCUGGUAAGCGUGCGGUGAAAGCCUGGGGCUCAACCCCGGGUCUGCCGUGCGAACUGCUAGGCUUGAGCACUGUAGAGGCAGGCGGAAUUCCGGGUGUAGCGGUGGAAUGCGUAGAGAUCCGGAAGAACACCGGUGGCGAAGGCGGCCUGCUGGGCAGUUGCUGACACUGAGGCGCGACAGCGUGGGGAGCAAACAGG
rnacentral:rRNA from 1 species